rnacentral:rRNA from 1 species
ACUGCUCAGUAACACGUGGCUAACCUGCCCUCGAGACAGAGACAGCCCCGGGAAACUGGGGCUAAUAUCCGAUAGGCGAAGAGCUCUGGAAUGAGCCUUCACUAAAACAGCGGCUAGGCUAUGCUUCUAGUCGUCGCUCGAGGAUGGGGCCGCGACCGAUCAGGUUGUUGGUGAGGUAACGGCUCACCAAGCCUAUAACCGGUGCGGGCCGUGGGAGCGGGAGCCCGGAGAUGGGCACUGAGACAAGGGCCCAGGCCCUACGGGGCGCAGCAGUCGCGCAAACUUUGCAAUACACGAAAGUGUGACAGGGCUAUCCCGAGUGCCGUCCGCUGAGGAUGGCUUUUACCCAGUCUAGAACGCUGGGGGAAUAAGGAGAGGGCAAGUCUGGUGUCAGCCGCCGCGGUAAUACCAGCUCUCCGAGUGGUGUGGAUGUUUAUUGGGCCUAAAGCAUCCGUAGCUGGCCAAGCCAGUCCCUUGUUAAACCCACCGAAUUAAUCGUUGGAUUGCGGGGGAUACUGCUCGGCUAGGGGACGAGAGAGGCAGACGGUAUUUUCGGGGUAGGGGUGAAAUCCUAUAAUCCCGGGAAGACCACCAGUGGCGAAGGCUGUCUGCUAGAACGCGCCCGACGGUGAGGGAUGAAAGCUGGGGGAGCGAACCGGAUUAGAUACCCGGGUAGUCCCAGCUGUAAACGAUGCAGGCUAGGUGUUUGGGCGGCCACGCGCCGCUCUAGUGCCGCAGGGAAGCUGUUAAGCCUGCCGCCUGGGGAGUACGGUCGCAAGAUUGAAACUUAAAGGAAUUGGCGGGGGAGCAC